UUAUUUUAGCGGCGGACGGGUGAGUAACGUGUGGGUAACCUGCCUUUUACUGGGGGAAUAAUCACUGGAAACGGUGACUAAUACCGCAUACGGUUCUUGGAAGGCAUCUUCUAAGAAAGAAAGGAUUUAUUCGGUAAAAGAUGGGCCCGCAUCUGAUUAGCUAGUUGGUGAGAUAACAGCCCACCAAGGCGACGAUCAGUAGCCGACCUGAGAGGGUGACCGGCCACAUUGGGACUGAGACACGGCCCAAACUCCUACGGGAGGCAGCAG
rnacentral:rRNA from 1 species